UACCCCUUUGGAGGCAUUUUAUGCUGCAGGUGCUUUUCUUAUUUCCAGUUGGAAAGUAGAAUUUGAAAUUUGGGGACUUCUAUGGAAGACAAUUUGGGACAGUUCUCUGGUAGGAUUAUCCUGUAGGCUUACUUACGUCUGAAUUGCACAAUGCAAACUGGAUUAAAGUUAAUAAAUUAUAAUCUAAGACAAGAGAUGGGAUGGAAUCUUCUCCUGAACCCACAAAUAUUAAAUUUCCCAAAAAUGCUGGUGGAUUUUCAUAAGGAUUCUUAAAAAAUAAUUGUAAACAGAUGUGGAAAUGUGGAGAACUUGAUACUGGAAAAAUUAAUAAUUUCAGACUGUGAGAAACCAAAACUGGCUGAUUCAGCCAUUCCUACCCAAAACCUUGGCAUGUGCCAGGCAGACUGACAUCCGAGGGCCAGGGUCUGAGGGGGUCUUCCUAGUGUGGCCUGUGGUGUGCAGUGAAUUCCCUUCUCUUUCCCCCUCUAGGAUGUGAGAAGCACCUUGCAGAGGUAAGUGGAUCUGGCUCAUUUCCAUUAGCUUCACUCUUUGAAGCUGAGAUGCAGGAACCUCAGACAUGGCCCUGCAGGGGGGAGACUGGAGGACUCACUCCCUGAGGCAUCUCACAGGUAAAAGCAGGGGCCCCUCUUUGGAACUUGACAAUGGGUAGAUCACAGUUGGUCUUUUUAUACUGUGAGUAGAUCACAGUCUCUUGGGAGUUGGACGUGCCUGCCUUAGCUGUUUCCUUCUAGACUGACCAGUUCAGUCACUCUGCCGGCCACCCCACCCUGUCCCAAGCAAACUCCUGCCCCAUAGAGCCCCUUGGGAGGGGGCGAUUUCUCACCAAGGAGCAGGAAUUGGCUAUUUUCUUGACCAUAUUCCGGCUGCAGUAUUUAUAUUGAAGGAAUCACUCAGGUGCAGAGUAGAGGUUUGAAGGAACAUUUCUUGUUUCCCAACAAAAGUGCAUCUCUUUUUCUUCCUCUCCCCUUCUCUGGGGACAUCUAGAGAAAGGACAUGUGUGCUGUGCUCUCACCACCCUCAGACAAUUCCUGCCCCUUGAUACCAUAGGAUUCUGCUGCUGCUUUGAAUAGACAUCAGUGGGGAGACUCAGAGGCCUGGGGUUGCUGUUUUGGCCCUUGGGGGUCUGGCUGAGGAGUCCGUAGUGAGGAAGAAACUCCCCACUCAGCGCAUGCCUGUCCCUCUAGGCCUCCUCCCAAUUCCUUUCUUUUCCUUUAACAGAAAUUGCAGAUUUGAAUGGGCUGACAUUGUUCUUCUUUUCACCAGGUAUGAUGAGAAAAGAGAGAGUCCAGAGAAGCCACUGCCUUUCCCUCCAGAGCUGAGGAACAGGGUCUUGGAAUCCUGUGAUCUAAAUCACCUUGUGGAGGAUGCCAUGAAACAAUGGGAAGAUGCUGUGUUAUACAGAAAACAGACUCAGAAAGAGGUUCUUUGGGGGCUUUUGAGAUCAGCCCCAUUCCCGGCAGGAGGACUUCCCAUUGCAUGAGACCUUUGGAAUUACAGGGUACAGCUCUGCCGAUUCUUCCUCUGGUUUGUCAGCAUGCUUGGAAAUUCCGGUUUCAACAGCUUUUCCCCACUAGUUCACUUGGCGCAGAUAGAAUCAUAGAAUCAUAGAGUUGGAAGAGACCACAAGGGCCAUCGAGUCCAACCCCCUGCCAAGCAGGAAACACCAUCAG